rnacentral:rRNA from 1 species
AGUGGCAGACGGGUGAGUAACAUGUACGUAUCUACCCUUUGGCCUGGAAUAACACGAGGAAACUUGUGCUAAUACCGGAUAAGUCUUUACGGAGAAAGCUUUAUGCACCAUUGGAUGAGCCUGCACUUGAUUAGUUUGUUGGUGGGGUAAUGGCCUACCAAGACUGUGAUCAAUAGCUGAUUUGAGAGGAUGAUCAGCCACAUUGGGACUGAGACACGGCCCAAACUCCUACGGGAGGCAGCAGUGGGGAAUCUUGCACAAUGGAGGAAACUCUGAUGCAGCGAUGCCGCGUGAGUGAAGAAGGCCUUUGGGUUGUAAAGCCCUUUCGUCGGGGAAGAAAAUGACGGCACCCGAAUAAGAAGGUCCGGCUAACUUCGUGCCAGCAGCCGCGGUAAUACGAAGGGACCUAGCGUAGUUCGGAAUUACUGGGCUUAAAGAGUUCGUACGUGGUUAAAAAAGUUGGUUGUGAAAUCCCGAAGCUUAACUUCGGAACUGCAAUCAAAACUUUUUAGCUA